rnacentral:rRNA from 1 species
GGGUUGUGAGGUUAAGCGACUAAGCGUACACGGUGGAUGCCCUGGCAGUCAGAGGCGAUGAAGGACGUGCUAAUCUGCGAUAAGCGUCGGUAAGGUGAUAUGAACCGUUAUAACCGGCGAUUUCCGAAUGGGGAAACCCAGUGUGAUUCGUCACACUAUCAUUAACUGAAUCCAUAGGUUAAUGAGGCGAACCGGGGGAACUGAAACAUCUAAGUACCCCGAGGAAAAGAAAUCAACCGAGAUUCCCCCAGUAGCGGCGAGCGAACGGGGAGGAGCCCAGAGCCUGAAUCAGUGUGUGUGUUAGUGGAAGCGUCUGGAAAGGCGCGCGAUACAGGGUGACAGCCCCGUACACAAAAAUGCACAUGCUGUGAGCUCGAUGAGUAGGGCGGGACACGUGGUAUCCUGUCUGAAUAUGGGGGGACCAUCCUCCAAGGCUAAAUACUCCUGACUGACCGAUAGUGAACCAGUACCGUGAGGGAAAGGCGAAAAGAACCCCGGCGAGGGGAGUGAAAAAGAACCUGAAACCGUGUACGUACAAGCAGUGGGAGCACGCUUAGGCGUGUGACUGCGUACCUUUUGUAUAAUGGGUCAGCGACUUAUAUUCUGUAGCAAGGUUAACCGAAUAGGGGAGCCGAAGGGAAACCGAGUCUUAACUGGGCGUUAAGUUGCAGGGUAUAGACCCGAAACCCGGUGAUCUAGCCAUGGGCAGGUUGAAGGUUGGGUAACACUAACUGGAGGACCGAACCGACUAAUGUUGAAAAAUUAGCGGAUGACUUGUGGCUGGGGGUGAAAGGCCAAUCAAACCGGGAGAUAGCUGGUUCUCCCCGAAAGCUAUUUAGGUAGCGCCUCGUGAAUUCAUCUCCGGGGGUAGAGCACUGUUUCGGCAAGGGGGUCAUCCCGACUUACCAACCCGAUGCAAACUGCGAAUACCGGAGAAUGUUAUCACGGGAGACACACGGCGGGUGCUAACGUCCGUCGUGAAGAGGGAAAUAACCCAGACCGCCAGCUAAGGUCCCAAAGUCAUGGUUAAGUGGGAAACGAUGUGGGAAGGCCCAGACAGCCAGGAUGUUGGCUUAGAAGCAGCCAUCAUUUAAAGAAAGCGUAAUAGCUCACUGGUCGAGUCGGCCUGCGCGGAAGAUGUAACGGGGCUAAACCAUGCACCGAAGCUGCGGCAGCGACGCUGAUGCGUUGUUGGGUAGGGGAGCGUUCUGUAAGCCUGUGAAGGUGUGCUGUGAGGCAUGCUGGAGGUAUCAGAAGUGCGAAUGCUGACAUAAGUAACGAUAAAGCGGGUGAAAAGCCCGCUCGCCGGAAGACCAAGGGUUCCUGUCCAACGUUAAUCGGGGCAGGGUGAGUCGACCCCUAAGGCGAGGCCGAAAGGCGUAGUCGAUGGGAAACAGGUUAAUAUUCCUGUACUUGGUGUUACUGCGAAGGGGGGACGGAGAAGGCUAUGUUGGCCGGGCGACGGUUGUCCCGGUUUAAGCGUGUAGGCUGGUUUUCCAGGCAAAUCCGGAAAAUCAAGGCUGAGGCGUGAUGACGAGGCACUACGGUGCUGAAGCAACAAAUGCCCUGCUUCCAGGAAAAGCCUCUAAGCAUCAGGUAACAUCAAAUCGUACCCCAAACCGACACAGGUGGUCAGGUAGAGAAUACCAAGGCGCUUGAGAGAACUCGGGUGAAGGAACUAGGCAAAAUGGUGCCGUAACUUCGGGAGAAGGCACGCUGAUAUGUAGGUGAAGUCCCUCGCGGAUGGAGCUGAAAUCAGUCGAAGAUACCAGCUGGCUGCAACUGUUUAUUAAAAACACAGCACUGUGCAAACACGAAAGUGGACGUAUACGGUGUGACGCCUGCCCGGUGCCGGAAGGUUAAUUGAUGGGGUCAGCGCAAGCGAAGCUCUUGAUCGAAGCCCCGGUAAACGGCGGCCGUAACUAUAACGGUCCUAAGGUAGCGAAAUUCCUUGUCGGGUAAGUUCCGACCUGCACGAAUGGCGUAAUGAUGGCCAGGCUGUCUCCACCCGAGACUCAGUGAAAUUGAACUCGCUGUGAAGAUGCAGUGUACCCGCGGCAAGACGGAAAGACCCCGUGAACCUUUACUAUAGCUUGACACUGAACAUUGAGCCUUGAUGUGUAGGAUAGGUGGGAGGCUUUGAAGUGUGGACGCCAGUCUGCAUGGAGCCGACCUUGAAAUACCACCCUUUAAUGUUUGAUGUUCUAACGUUGACCCGUGAUCCGGGUUGCGGACAGUGUCUGGUGGGUAGUUUGACUGGGGCGGUCUCCUCCUAAAGAGUAACGGAGGAGCACGAAGGUUGGCUAAUCCUGGUCGGACAUCAGGAGGUUAGUGCAAUGGCAUAAGCCAGCUUGACUGCGAGCGUGACGGCGCGAGCAGGUGCGAAAGCAGGUCAUAGUGAUCCGGUGGUUCUGAAUGGAAGGGCCAUCGCUCAACGGAUAAAAGGUACUCCGGGGAUAACAGGCUGAUACCGCCCAAGAGUUCAUAUCGACGGCGGUGUUUGGCACCUCGAUGUCGGCUCAUCACAUCCUGGGGCUGAAGUAGGUCCCAAGGGUAUGGCUGUUCGCCAUUUAAAGUGGUACGCGAGCUGGGUUUAGAACGUCGUGAGACAGUUCGGUCCCUAUCUGCCGUGGGCGCUGGAGAACUGAGGGGGGCUGCUCCUAGUACGAGAGGACCGGAGUGGACGCAUCACUGGUGUUCGGGUUGUCAUGCCAAUGGCACUGCCCGGUAGCUAAAUGCGGAAGAGAUAAGUGCUGAAAGCAUCUAAGCACGAAACUUGCCCCGAGAUGAGUUCUCCCUGACUCCUUGAGAGUCCUGAAGGAACGUUGAAGACGACGACGUUGAUAGGCCGGAUGUGUAAGCGCAGCGAUGCGUUGAGCUAACCGGUACUAAUGAACCGUGAGGCUUAACCUUACAACGCCGAAGGUGUUU